GUUUAUGUUUUACCUACCAAAACACCUAAACGUCAGUCUGCAGAGGAGCAGUAGGGUCGUUUAGACAAUGCUAAAGUUACAAUUAACGUAAUUAUUGUAGCCAUCAAAGAAACAAAGAGAGUUACUUUUUAUAAUAAUUUUGUAGAAAUUUGUGAGUUAUUCCCCUCGUUAACCGUUGCAACGGUUAGUGUUAACCAUAUUUUUCUUUGGCUGCUGGAGACGUUGGUUAAUUUGAAGCUAGCUCGGUCUGCUGGUUAAUAUUCGCUUAACUUACAUCAAGUCUAAAAACAUAUGUGAAGUUUUAUCUGGGAUAAAUAUAAGUCCCCUGCCGCAAGUGCCAAAUGCCUCGCUUGGAAAACUCAGAUGGCAGAGGGACAAGAAGACUAAAAUUAGACUGGAAGUUUGUUCAGAGGUUCUGCAGCAUCCAGAAGACCCUGUUCCCAUCAUGGACCAGUCAAAGUGUUCUGAUGUUUGGGACACUGCUUGGUGUCACUCUGACAGAGCAGCUGAUCAUUUACCAAGUGGGUGUCCUCCCCAGCCAAUUCUACAAUGUGCUAGCAGACAAAGAUUACUCAAGCUUCAGGAACCUGUUGGCCACAGCUAUGGUGCUCAUCUUGCUCAACUCCACAUUGAAAAGUCUUGACCAGUACAUUUGCAAUCAGAUGUAUAUUAGCUGGAGGAAGACGCUAACUGAGAGCCUCCAUACAGCCUACUUCCAGGGCCGGGUCUAUUAUACACUCAAUGUACUCAGAGAGGACAUAGACAACCCAGACCAGCGAAUCAGUCAAGAUGCGGAGAGGUUGUGUAAGCAGAUGAGCACUAUGGCUAGUCGUUUGAUUGUAUCGCCAUUCACACUGGCUUACUACACCUACCAGUGCUUUUAUAGCACUGGCUGGAUCGGUCCUAUGAGUAUCUUUGGCUACUUUGUGCUUGGGACCAUUGCCAAUAAAAUCCUUAUGGGGCCAAUUGUGUCGACUCUGUUUGAGCAAGAAAAACUGGAGGGAGACUUCAGAUUCAAGCACAUGCAGAUCCGUGUCAAUGCAGAGUCUGCCGCUUUUUACAGAGCCGGUAAAGUGGAGCUCAUGAGGACCGACCGAAGACUGCAGGCUCUGUUGCAAACUCAAAAGACUCUAAUAAACAAAGAGCUCUGGCUUUAUAUUGGGGUCAACACCUUUGACUACAUUGGAGCUUUUCUCAGCUACAUUGUAAUUGCCAUUCCCAUCUUCACUGGUGUCUAUGAUGGUCUCACUCCUGGUGAGCUCAGUGCGCUCAUCAGUAAGAAUGCCUUUGUGUGCAUCUACCUGAUAAAUGGCUUCACACAGCUAAUAGACCUGUCAACCACUCUGUCAGACGUGGCGGGAUACACCCACAGGAUUGGGGAGCUGAGGGAGGUGAUGGAUGACAUCCUACACAAGCAGUGUGACUAUGAUCCGGCAUCAGGGGAAAGCUAUGACUUUGACAGUGACUUCAAUGUCCACGCAGGCCCCGUGGACACGGCCUUCAUCCUGGACCAUCUUUCAUACAAAUCUCCUUACUCAGACCAGCUGCUGGUAGAAGAUCUGAGUCUGAAAAUCAGUGAGGGAGCACAUCUGCUAGUGGUGGGGAACACUGGCACCGGCAAGACGUCACUACUAAGGGUCCUCAACAGACUUUGGGAGGCACACAGUGGUUUUGUCCAGAUGACCACAUGUUUCGGGCCCAGAGGAACCCUCUUCCUGCCACAGAAACCUUACCUGACUGAUGGCACGCUGCGCGAACAGGUGAUCUACCCACUGAAGGAUAUUUACCCUGCAUCAGGGUCAGCGGACGAUAACAGAAUUAUACAGUUCCUGGAGCUAGCUGGAGUGUCCAGUCUCCUGAAGCGGACAGGCGGCCUAGAUGAAAAGGUGGACUGGAACUGGUAUGAUGUUCUGUCUCCAGGUGAAAUGCAGCGUCUCUGCUUUGCGCGACUCUUCUACCUGCAGCCCAAAUAUGCAGGUGUGGUGUUCUGGAUUUCGUGUUGGAUGAGGCCACCAGUGCUUUGACGGAGGAGGCAGAAGCACAGCUGUACCGAACCUGUAAACAGCUUGGCAUGACUUUGGUCAGUCUGGGACACCGGAGCAGCCUGGUGAAGUACCAUGAUAUCCAGUUGAAACUGUGUGGAGAAGGCCGGUGGGAGUUAACCAGGUUAAGAAGAAGCAGCGGGCACGUGACCGAAGAGUCUGCUCUUUAAAACCCUGGACAUGCAGGAAGCAUCAGGGUGGGAGACGAGAACAGAAAACACUCCUAAAUUCCUCAAGCUACUAACAUUCAAGUGCUCUUCAACAAGGUACUUUAAAACCAUAUAUUCUCAUAUCCACAGGCAGUUUAAGAGAACAAUGUUUCUCACCAGCCAGCUUGGUUAAAUACGAGCUUCAGAAAGUGGGUGGGAGUGCAACAUUCUUCCAAGGAAGAUGACUGAGGCUUGUGGGUCAGAAAGGAGAGCUCUACCAAAAUGUUCUGGACCCAAAUACUUUGAAAGACAGAUGGUUUAAAUGGAGUAAAUUCGUCCAUCCUGACAGGAAAUGGGGGGGGGGGGGGAGACCUUUUAGACCAAAAUCUUGUGUACCUUUUUAUGUGAGAUUACAUUUGUUUUAUUGUAUUAUGUUCACAUUACAUUGGGAAUAUUAGUUCCAAUUAUGUAAUAAAAACACACACUGUUCUCA